GUCUCGGGGGACGCGUUCCCGACCCGAGGAUCGUCCAGGUGCCGGCCUACAGGGGUCCAGUGGCUGCGCCGCUGGCCCUCCAUCCUGGGACACUGACUUGGAGCCUGUGAGCCCGCGGCGUUCCCAGGUUCCAUGUGACACCCAGAGAGGGAACUGAGACCUCAGUAGCCCCUCUCUCACACAAGGUGUACCUGAGUCCCGGCGGGGCCCACUCUCCCACCGGGUCCACCGGAUCCUGCCACGUGCCUGGCCGGUGCUUCUCGCUAUCCAGAAGGGGCUGCCUCCUGUCCUGCCAGGACUGGCCCUAGGAGGGACACAGCCUCCUGUGUGCUGCAGCAGCCAUGGGGUCCACCAGUCAGCCUGGCCUGCCCCUGUGCAAGGGCACCAAGACCCUUUAGAAGUCCCAGCGCCUCUCCUCCCCUCUCCCAGAGCAUCAGCUGUUGUGUCUCCAGAUGCCCAGGAAGUGGCUCCGCCAACCUGCACGUGGCCCUGCAGCCACCGGGGACCCUGUCCUCAGCUCCACCCUGGCAGGCCAGGCAGGCCGCUGUUUGGGGACACCAGCAGGGAGCUGUGUCUGGCUGCAGGCCCUCUGCGGAGCCCCCUCCAUGGCUGUGGGCGGCCGACUCUCACCACCUCUUCCCUGCAGUCACACUUCGCUUUUCUAUGGCACAUUUCCUGUAGAAGCAGUCCCACCUGGCCCUGCAGUCCUGCUGGGUGGCAGCUGCAGUGACAGGAGGGAGGGCCCCAGGGAAAGGGCUCCUUAGCUCCACUCCCAGAGGUGGGGGGAGACACGGUGGGGGUGUGAGGGAGGGUGUUAGGGUAGCCAGGGAGGGCUGGGGCCAAGGCCGCCCUGUAACAGGCCUGCCAUUGGAGCCAGAUAGGGGCACAUUCAGUGGGCAUGAGUCUUCAGGGACAGACCAUCUUCUUGCAUGGUCUCCAGGAUGCCUUCUCAUAGGAUGGGGGCUGUGAGGAUGGCCCUAGGCCUGAGCCUAAGCAACUCCAUUUUAAAAACUCCAGUUUGAAACCUGCAGGCUCACCAGGCACACCCACAGAGCCCUCCAGUGUGGCCUCAGACAAGUCACUUCCCCUGACCCUGAUCAACAGAGUGAAGCCCCUGGCAGGCUGUCCUCUCCUGAUAAGAGGGAAGGGCGAGAAGAUGAGGGGGCGGGGAGACACCAGACCAGAUGUUUCUGACCCCAGGGUAAAUGAUGUCACUUAGAAAUCCAGUGGUAGCUGAUAAGGAUUGAAAGGGGGGUCAAAAGCCCCCAAAUGUAGUAAAAAUAAUAGAGCAAAUGAACAGGGAUUCAGCCACCCAAAACAAGGAUGCACUUGAGCUAGAGAGCCUGAUGAGGACCUGACAUCCCGUCACUUGUCAUCCUUCCUGAGCCUCUGCGUGAUGGUCACCACUCUCAAACUCUACCGCCUUGUCUGGACCUUGGUGAGAGCCGCAACUUCUCCCUAAGACCCCCUCCUCAACCGGUUGUCCACUGCAUGCCAGGAAAAGCCUGCUUGGUUUCGGACCUGGUCACCACAGUCUGAGUGGGUGGGCAUCUGCUGGACAUAAAGCCUAAGACUUAGGACUUUUGAACUUAUCUUGCAGAGGGGAUGUCUGUCAUUAGUCUAUUGUGAUUAAGAGUGCUUGCAGUACUUAGACUUAAUCUAGAAUUGUUUGCUGUGAAUUGAUUAUGUCUAUUGCAGUGCCCAGCAUUAAGGAUUGUCUUUUUCUUGGUUAAGAACCUACAGAGUGAAACUGUAUGGAGUGAUUUGAGUGAAUAAAGCAUUGAAAGGGGCAGAA